GGGCUCACACAAGCGGUGGAGGAUGUGGCUUAAUUCGAGGCUACGCGAAGAACCUUACCUAGACUUAACAUGUUUGGGAAUCUCUGUGAAAGCAGAGAGUGCCUUUCGGGGAACCCUUACGUAGGUGCUGCAUGGCUGUCGUCAGCUCGUGUCGUGAGAUGUCGGGUUAAGUCCCUUAACGAGCGAAACCCUUGUCCCUAGUUGCCAGCGAGUUAUGUCGGGGACUCUAGGGAGACUGCCGGUGUUAAACCGGAGGAAGGUGGGGAUGACGUCAAGUCCUCAUGGCCUUUAUGCCUAGGGCUGCACACGUCCUACAAUGCAACAUACAAAGGGAAGCGAAAUCGCGAGAUCAAGCAAAUCCCAAAAAGUGUUGCCCAGUUCGGAUUGCAGGCUGAAAUUCGCCUGCAUGAAGCCGGAAUCGCUAGUAA
rnacentral:rRNA from 1 species